UGGGGAAUAUUGCACAAUGGGCGCAAGCCUGAUGCAGCGACGCCGCGUGCGGGAUGGAGGCCUUCGGGUUGUAACCGCUUUGUUCAAGGGCAAGGCACGGUCUUUGGCCGUGUUGAGUGGAUUGUUCGAAUAAGCACCGGCUAACUACGUGCC
rnacentral:rRNA from 1 species